UACGGAGGGCGCAAGCGUUGUUCGGAAUCACUGGGCGUAAAGCGCGUGUAGGCGGCCGGGCAAGUCGGAUGUGAAAUCCCGAGGCUCAACCUCGGAACUGCAUUCGAAACUGCUCGGCUCGAGUCCCGGAGAGGAUGGCGGAAUUCCCGGUGUAGGGGCGAAAUCCGUAGAUAUCGGGAGGAACACCAGUGGCGAAGGCGGCCAUCUGGACGGUGACUGACGCUGAGACGCGAAAGCGUGGGGAGCAAACAGG
rnacentral:rRNA from 1 species